UAGGGAAUCUUCCACAAUGGACGCAAGUCUGAUGGAGCAACGGCCGCGUGAGUGAAGAAGGUUUUCGGACCGUAAAGCUCUGUUGUUGGUGAAGAAGGAUAGAGGUAGUAACUGGCCUUUAUUUGACGGUAAUCAACCAGAAAGUCACGGCUAACUACGUGCCAGCAGCCGCGGUAAUACGUAGGUGGCAAGCGUUGUCCGGAUUUAUUGGGCGUAAAGCGAGCGCAGGCGGAAGAAUAAGUCUGA
rnacentral:rRNA from 1 species